rnacentral:rRNA from 1 species
GACGAACGCUGGCGGCGUGCCUAAUACAUGCAAGUCGAACGCAGUGGGGACGGGUGAGUAACACGUGGGUAACCUCCCAUCAGAGGGGAUAACACUUGGAAACAGGUGCUAAACCGAUACUGAUGGAUGGACCCGCGGUGCAUUAGCUAGUUGGUGAGGUAACGGCCGACCAAGGCCACGAUGCCUAGCGAACCUGAGAGGGUGAGCGGCGAAAUGGAGCAUGAGAAACGGCCCAGAACCCUACGGGAGGGAGCAGGAGGGAAUCUUCGGAAAUGGACGAAAGUCUGAACGAGCAACGCCGCGUGAGGGAAGAAGGUUUUCGGAUCGUAAAACUCUGUUGUUAGAGAAGCGGUAUCUAACCAGAAAGCCACGACUAACUACGUGCCAGCAGCCGCGGUAAUAC